rnacentral:rRNA from 1 species
UACGUAGGGUGCGAGCGUUAAUCGGAAUUACUGGGCGUAAAGCGUGCGCAGGCGGCUUCGCAAGCCAGAUGUGAAAUCCCCGGGCUUAACCUGGGAAUGGCAUUUGGGACUGCAAGGCUCGAGUGCGGCAGAGGAGACUGGAAUUCCUGGUGUAGCAGUGAAAUGCGUAGAUAUCUGGAGGAACACCGGUGGCGAAGGCGGCAUCCUGGACCAAUUCUGACGCUGAGGAGCGAAAGCCAGGGGAGCAAACGGG